rnacentral:rRNA from 1 species
UACAGAGGGGGCAAGCGUUGUUCGGAAUUACUGGGCGUAAAGGGCGCGUAGGCGGCCUUCUAAGUCGAACGUGAAAUCCCCGGGCUCAACCCGGGAACUGCGUCCGAUACUGGAAGGCUUGAAUCCGGGAGAGGGAUAGCGGAAUUCCAGGUGUAGCGGUGAAAUGCGUAGAUAUCUGGAGGAACACCGGUGGCGAAGGCGGCAUCCUGGACCGGCAUUGACGCUGAGGCGCGAAAGCCAGGGGAGCAAAGCGGG